UCUGCUGUGAAAUCCCGAGGCUCAACCUCGGGUCUGCAGUGGGUACGGGCAGACUAGAGUGCGGUAGGGGAGAUUGGAAUUCCUGGUGUAGCGGUGGAAUGCGCAGAUAUCAGGAGGAACACCGAUGGCGAAGGCAGAUCUCUGGGCCGUUACUGACGCUGAGGAGCGAAAGGGUGGGGAGCAAACAGGCUUAGAUACCCUGGUAGUCCACCCCGUAAACGUUGGGAACUAGUUGUGGGGUCCAUUCCACGGAUUCCGUGACGCAGCUAACGCAUUAAGUUCCCCGCCUGGGGAGUACGGCCGCAAGGCUAAAACUCAAAGGAAUUGACGGGGACCCGCACAAGCGGCGGAGCAUGCGGAUUAAUUCGAUGCAACGCGAAGAACCUUACCAAGGCUUGACAUAUACGAGAACGGGCCAGAAAUGGUCAACUCUUUGGACACUCGUAAACAGGUGGUGCAUGGUUGUCGUCAGCUCGUGUCGUGAGAUGUUGGGUUAAGUCCCGCAACGAGCGCAACCCUCGUUCUAUGUUGCCAGCACGUAAUGGUGGGAACUCAUGGGAUACUGCCGGGGUCAACUCGGAGGAAGGUGGGGAUGACGUCAAAUCAUCAUGCCCCUUAUGUCUUGGGCUUCACGCAUGCUACAAUGGCCGGUACAAAGGGCUGCAAUACCGUGAGGUGGAGCGAAUCCCAAAAAGCCGGUCCCAGUUCGGAUUGAGGUCUGCAAC
rnacentral:rRNA from 1 species